rnacentral:SRP_RNA from 1 species
GCCGGGUGUGGUGGCGGGCGCCUGUAGUCCCAGCUACUCGGGAGGCUGAGGCAGGAGAAUUGCAUGAACCCGGGAGGCGGAGGUUGCAGUGAGCCGAGAUGGUGCCACUGCACUCCAGCCUGGGUAACAGAGCGAGACUCUGUCUCAA